GGGCGGGCGGAGGCGGGCGGGCAGCGCUGAGCCCCGCGGAGCGUGCAGCCGCACCAGCAUGGCCGAGCGCCGGGCGGACCGGCACGCCGGCACCGCGGGACACGCGUGUCCCUGAACGGCGACAGCCGGCGCGGCGAGCGCUCGGAACCGCCCUGGCCCGGGCUGGGCAACUCCCUCCGCAGCGAUCGCAGCGCAGCCCGGCGGGACGGGGCGGGGCAGGGCAGGGCAGGGCAGGGCAGGGAGGAGCGGGGAGGCGGCACCGCCGUGGGGGCCGAAGCCGGAGCCGGAACCGGAGUGGGCGGUGGUGUUGGAGUGGCCGCUCGCCCCGUGUUCGUGUCCCCCGGUUCAGUCGGGUGAUGCGCUGAGCGCUGGGCGCGGUGUUUGCUGGGGCACUGCCCAGGGAGCACACGCUCGCACGGCGGAGCGGCUGCGGUUCCCUCCUGGCGCUGACGGCACCGUUCCCGCCGGGCAAGCCCCGCCACGUCUCUGCCCGGUUCCCCACGGCAUCCGAGUGCGGCCCCGGCGCUCCGCCUGGGCGUCGCUCGGUCCCCGGCAGCUCCUCCGUGGGGCGCGCCGCGUUCCGCUGCUGCAGGAGGACGUGCCCGUAGUUGUGCGGAGUGGAUGCAAAGCGGCAAGUUUUCCACGAGGGAACAACGGGACAGUGUUACCUAUUUACUCUCCUCUGUUUGUGUGCUACACAGCCUCUUGUGAGGCAAGGAGGGAGCCAAGACCAGGCUGA
rnacentral:lncRNA from 1 species